rnacentral:lncRNA from 1 species
UCAGCCAACAAUAUUGCUACAUAAUCUUCAACUCAGCCUACUCAGAUAAGACAGCUCAUCAGCAUAUUCCCAGCACAAAGGAAUACAUUAAUGGAGUUGGUUGGCAGCUGUAAAGCUGUAUCAUGAUGCUUUUCUUCAUGGCUAAGGAAUUCAUUUAUGGAGUUGGUUGGCAGCUGUAAAGCACUUAAUUUCAAAAUUUCCUAUGCAUGAAGGGUUGUUUCAUGCACUAGUAUUUAUUUUGGGGUUUAGGGCUUAGAAAAGA